UUUGUUUCAAUUUUUUUUCCACAUUUUAUUUAUGCCAUGGCCAAAUAGAUGACAAACAUUCUAAGAAUAACAGCUGUCAUUUGGUAACAAUAAUGGUUUAUGAUAUACAAUAAUAAUAUGACAAGAUAAAAAAAGUGACAAAUUAAUAAUCUUGAGAGUUGAAAAGGAUCAAACUUCUAUAAUGCCUUAAUGUAUAAAACAUCUCAAUAUAACUUUCUAAUUUAAAGGUAUCAGUACAUUUUUUUUUCAAGGAAAAUUUGUUUGUUAAACAAGAGAUUCAAAAUAAUUGAUUUGCUCGGAUCAAAUUAAUCAGCACAAAAAUGAACAGGGAUACUAGGAUAACUUUUGAUAAAGCCAACAUUGAUGCAUUCAACAGUCUUUUCUUAAAUUGUAUCCAGGUUUGACAUAGUCAAUCACACUUGCUGACUUCACAGCACAUACAAGGUGGAAGUUAUGUGAAUAUAAAAUUCAAUGAUGGAGUGUGCAUACCUACAAUCCAUUGUGAAAUUUAAUACCAUGAGUAUUAGUAGAAAAACUAUCUGCUGAUUGAACAACAGUAUAAUGAGUUUGCACUACCAAUAACUUCAAUAAGAGAAAUAUAAAAGCAAUUAUUUCUAAGCAGUAUUUAAUGAGAACAUGUCUUGACAGUUAAAUGAUCAUAAGAACUAGCAAAGAAGAAAACAAGGAACUUUACUGACAAUGAUAAACACAAACUUAGCUAAAAGCAGUACAAAUACAAAUUUCAAGAAACUCUCAUAGAGCCUGCAUCAAAACAAUAACUCAAACUGUUAUAUAAUCCCUUUAAAAAAAUCACAAACAUUUAUAUAAAAUCAUAUAGUUCAAUCACAAACAUUUAUAUAAAAUCAUAUAGUUCAAUCACAAACACUUAUAUAAAAA